rnacentral:rRNA from 1 species
UAACCUGCUAACUAGACACGCGAUUCUCCGAAUCGUGGCACGUGAUCUUCUUAGAGGGACUACCGGUAUCUAGCCGGAGGAAGUUUGAGGCAAUAACAGGUCUGUGAUGCCCUUAGAUGUCCUGGGCUGCACGCGCGCUACACUGACGGAGGCAUCGAGUUGCUUCGCCUUGGCCGGUAGGUCUGGGUAAUCUGCUGCAAACUCCGUCGUGCUGGGGAUAGAUCAUUGCAAUUAUUGAUCUUCAACGAGGAAUUCCUAGUAAGUGCGUUUCAUCAGAACGCGCUGAUUACGUCCCUGCCCUUUGUACACACCGCCCGUCGCU